GGGUGGAGCCCAGCGGGCAGGAGCCGUUGUCCUUUCGCAGGGAAAGGAAAACCUCAGGCGUUCACUGAGCGGAUUUUCCGCUCUCAUGCAAGGGGAUUCAGCGAAUCAAUUAAUCAGCAGCGGCGGAACUGAGACACGUUUUAGAGCAACUCGUCCAGGCCUGAGUGACUGCUGGAGGAGCCUCAGACUCAACCAAGGACCUGCCAUGGAGUUGGAAAUUGAUGUGGGAAGGUGCUCGGGCAGCUGCUCCUCGGGGGAUCCCUGCUCGCUUGGUGCAGGGAGUCAGAAGGUGGAGAGAAAUGUCCGUUCCAGCCUCUGUGCCGCUCACUGCUACGAGGUGCACACGUUCGGGAGCCGCCGCCUCUUUGCCAUCCAGCAGGGCAAGUGCAGGGGGCAGAAGGGCUGGGCAGCGGCAGGUGGGCUCCUGCGAGACCCCCGCCAGACUGUCUGUAGUAUAUGUAAAUGAGAGAAGGCUAUUUUUUGAAUAAAAGCUACUUUAAACAGCGUU